AUGACUAAGCAGACCGUGUGUGGCCCAUGGCACGACGGCCCAGAUGUGAGGCCCGUGGGCUGGCACAAUAUAGCCCGUUUAUUAUUUUCAGACUUUUUUUAUCAAGUUAUUGGCCCAAAAACAGUCCAAAAGGCCGAAAAGCACACAGGCCGACCGGCCAGGUGUCGUGCCAGGCCGGCCUCCGCUAAGGUGGGCAUGGCACAGCCCACUUAUCAACAGGCCGCCAACUAUGGUGCUAAUCCACCAACUAUGGUUGCGGAGCUGAUUGAUAGCACAUCGGCAACAUGGAACGAACAACUAAUCAGAUCCACCUUCUUACCUUUUGAUGCUGAUACUAUCAUGUCUUUACCACUUUGCACCCGGGUGAUUGAGGACUUCUAG
rnacentral:rRNA from 1 species